rnacentral:lncRNA from 1 species
UAUUUAAAUCUAUAUCUAUAUAUUUAUCUAUAUACUAUAUUAAAAGCACGAAACCCCUAUCGAAAUGUUAUUCGCUUUUUUUAUCUUUCGUGAUUAUAUUGUACGUAGGAUAAAAUUGUAAUUGUAUUUUCUAAGAAGUAUCAAAACUGCCGUUUAUAACCCCUUUUUUGUUGGACACAAUUUUUCUAUAUUUAGGUUUUAGGAUUCACUUUAUAUUUAGGAUUCUUCUACCAAUUAAUAUAUGUUAAUUAUAUUGUGUCUUUUCUUUGUUUUUUGGCUUAGGAACCCUUGACCUAAAUAACUCGCCGUAGGCUCUAAAGGAAAAAGUAUGGUUUAGGAUUCAGCAAUUAAUAUUAGUAUUUGUAUUUCACUUGAACAUUAUUUAUAUUUGUUGUACUAUCAUUGUUUUAAGAGUCUAUUUCCUGGUCUUUUGAUUUGUGGUGAAAUCGUUGUUCAUGGAUUGAUCAUUGCCUAACUUGGAGAACUCUUAUCUUGGAUUUUCUUUUAUGAUCUUUUUAGUUUCUCCAUAUCAUUAGUAAGAUAUGUUUUUAAGAUUGCUGAAAUCUUAACCAAUAUUCGUUAAAUCUCUUUUAUUACUUUGUGCUAAUUUUGGUUUUUGAUUUCUCUUUUAUAUUUUGAAUUUGGUAUUGCAUGACACUUGUGCUUUCUUCUUCUUUUUUCUCACUUAAUUUUUGGUCCUUGGAUCCAGAUUUUAGAAGUUAGUCUUUUAAUGCUAAUCCUACAAAGUUUAUUUUAGUAGAAAUUUGAAUUACGUUCAGUUCUUUCGCCGGCUUCAAGUUUCUUGCUAAUAGUUGGCAGAAGAUCUUCCUAUCGCGGAUAAUCUUUCAAUAUUAUUUUCAACAAUUUAAUUAUAUAUUUUUUCAACAAUUUAAUUCGUGAAUUAAUUUGCAUUUGAGUCUAGAUAAUUAUCUGUGUUUUUUUCAGGUUUCUCGCUAAUGAUUGGGGCAGAAAAUUUUCAUAUCUUUGGUAAUCUUUCGAUUUCAUUCUUCAGCAAUUAAAUUCAUAAACUAAUUUUGUAUUUGUUUCUAGAUCUUAGAAUAAUUUACCUAUUUUAUUCUACAAUAACUCUUAAUUCUUUGAUUUUAGUAAUUCAUUAGUUUUACUCAUUAGAUAUUCGAUAAUUCUUCUUUCUUCUCGAAUUUGUGAUGCUAUUUUGAAUGUAAUAUUAUAGAAGAAAAUUUGAAAUGAUUGUAUUGGGUGAUGGAAUUUAAGCUAAAUUAUGCAAACAAUCAAUCAUAAAUUAUCAAACGGCAAGAUUUGUAUAUUCCGAACAAGUUUCCAAGAAGAUGCGUUGUUUGAAAGUACAUAAUGAGCACUUUUGUACUAUAGAUAAAAGUUGUCUGCAUAAUAUUAAGAAAAAAGUUUGCAUUCUGAAGCUAAGCAUUUAUGUGAAAUCAAUAAUAUUAUUUUAGACUUUCACUAUUUUAUAUUCAAUUAUUAAAUUAUAUAUCAGUAAUUAUUAAAAAGUGAGAAUCCUCAUACUCAAAUGUUAAUGGAUCAAAUUGUAAAAAUAAGUACAACGUAUAGGAUGUUCUUUGAGAACGUAUCUGUCAACUUAUUUUUGUUAAAUUCACAAGUAAAUAUUACGAAAUAUCUUUUGGCAGUUAGUGGUUCCAUCUUUUAACACAAGAAAAUAUAAAUUUUUACAGGGGCCAACAAGUUGGAGGUUGUAUGUCAAAUGUGGAUAUAUCUUCUGUUUCCUUAGUCGUGUAUACUAUGUUCUAUUUGUAUUCUGAUGGUGCUACCAUUUCCUAUAAAUAAUUUUUUGUCGCCACCGGAAGAUAUGUUGUGCUGGUUGUAUGCCUUGCAAUGGUCGAUGCGAAGAAUGUAGUUGCCCGCCCUGAAUUUUGCCCUAGAAACUAAGGUGAGCUAUAAAACAACGUUUAUAUUAUUUUUUAUAGUCCGUAAUAUUUUCUUCUUCUAAGUUCUACUCAUGUUAAAAGCUGGUGCUUCAUACUUUUUGUGGAUUGGGUUAUCUCAGCGGGAAGAUAGAUGAAUUCCACAUUUAAAUUUACUGAUUUUAAACGCAAACUAAUUCAUUCUGUGGAAAAGACUUGGGAGUCUUUGUCAUGUAUAUUGAUAUAGUAUCAAUCCUUAAAGAGAAUAUUUUAUUAAAAAGUUGUAUUUUUUUCCUUUAUUACUUUUAUAAUAGAACAAAUUUUUAAUGAAUUUCAUAAAAGUUUUAUUAAUAGUACGAAGCGUGUAUCGAUAUGUCAUUCGUUGUUUUACCCUUAAUAAGUGAAUUCUACGUUGGAUAUAAUAGUAAUAGCAAUCACUAAUAAUUUUCUUUUGUUUUUGGAAAAAAAAAAAUUUAUCGUGUGUUACCUUUAUUUAGGGUUUUCUUGGUUUAGAAUUAGAAUCGUUUAAUUCCGCAUUCUUUACAGUUUUCUUUGUUUAGAUUCUUUACUCAUAGCUUUCUUUUAGGUUUAGAAUUCUUUUAUUAUCAAUGUUACAUAUGCUUACAGUGUAUCUCUUACGUUGUGUUUCUUCUUUGUUUAGGUUUAGGAUUUACUUUAAUCCUCCAGAAUAUGUGUACAAGGGUUUUCUUUGGUGUAUUUGACCAUAGUAGUAUUUUCCACCUUUCUAAUUUAUUCUACAAUAUUUAUUUAGUAUAGUACUUUUGCACAACGGUACAGUUAUGUAUUCGUUUAAUAAUUCUUUGGUUUCGUUCUCUUAUUUCAGGUUUAAACAACCAUUGCCGCAGGAAAUAAAAGUAUCUAUUUCAUACGGUAAUUUAUUUUUCGUAUGAUAUGAAUUCUUUCUCAAAAAUUAAUUUCAUGUGUCAAUAUCAAUGAAGGUUAGAGUUUAACAUAUUGUAAAGUUUUAUAAUUAAAAAGCAUUACCAAUAACGGUGUCCGUAGUAAAAAUUUGAUAUUUUUUUAAAUAUCUAAUGACUUAACAAAGGUUUGAAUCAAUUUCUGGAGAUAUUGGUGGUCACAUAUUUUCAUAACGGCUUCACAUUAAUUGAACGUCCUGCAUUGAAAUUGAAGAGCUCUUGUCUUGUUUUGGUUUAUCAUAUAAGUUAGUUGGAGAUUGCCACUUUAGCUCUUAUUAAACUGUAGGAUUUUUUUUUAAUGUGCAGAAUAGAGAUGAUUAAUGUCUUUAUUUUCUUAAAAAUAGGCGAGUUUAACUAUUUCCAUUCCAACUGUCGUCAUUGAAUUAUUUUAUUUUCUAUAUAUUUUUCAUAUGAGUGCAAGCACGAGAGUUUUUUUAGUCGGAAAAUAUGUACAAAUUUGUAGGUAAUUGAGUAUGUUUUGUUAUUCAAUUCAGUUAAUUUAUUUUAUUAUUUGAGACCAGACUACUUGAUAUUUAUUUAGUAUGGAUUAUAUCUUUGUGAAAUUUGUUAUAAAUAUCACUACUAGAAUUCUGGGAAAAAGAGACCGCAAAAAGCGACCAAUUAAAUAGCGACCAAAAUGCGACUAAAAGUGCAUGGUAGCUAUAUUGAUGGUCCCUUUUAUUUAGGGACCAAAGUUAGCGACCAACUUUGGUCUCUAAGCUAAAUGGACCCAUUUUUCCGGAUAUUGACUAUAGAGACCAACUUUGGUCGCUUUAUUAAUUUAAUAAUAUAAAUUUGGCGACUAAAGUUGGUCUCUAAAUAAAAAAUACAUUAUUUAUUUAUUUAUUUAUUUAUUAUUAAUCACUAAAAAGCGACCAACUUUGGUCUCUAAACCAAAUAUUAUAUUUUAAAAUCUGGAAACUAGAGACCAAUUUUGGUCGCUUUUGUAUUCAAUUAUUUAUUUAUUUUAUUAAACUAGCGACCAACUUUGGUCCCUAAAUACAUGGAUUUAAUUUAUUUUUUAAAUAUUAGCGACCAACUUUGGUCGCUAUAUCACCAGAAAUUUUAUUUUUUUUAAUGAAAUAGCGACCAAGUUUGGUCGCUUUUUGUAGAAAUCUGAGUAAAUAGCGACCAAAGUUGGUCCCUAUUCUCCAGAAAAUUAUUUUUUUUAACAUGAAAAGCGACCAAAUAGAGACCAACUUUGGUCUCUUUUCUGUGUAUUAUUUUGGCAGAAACUGUCUGUUUUUGCAACUACACCACCUGCGAGUCAUACCAAUUUCCUAAAUAGGCAUUUUAUGCCAACAAGAACAACAAUAAAAAGCAAUUAAAAGCAACAAAGAAUAAAGUUCAAUAGAACUAAUACAUUAAGCUAACAAAACUAAGUUAACGCUUAUUACAAGCCCAUUCGAACUAAAGAGAACUAACACAAUAGUAAAUUGGUAUGUAAAUUAGUUCUAACACAAUAGAACUAACACAAUGUAAAUUAGUUCUAACACAAUAGAACUAACACAAUAGUAUAUAAAGUACUGAAGGAGUGUUCUUUCAUCAUCUUCGUCUGCAAGUUGGAUUGCCUCGCUCGGUUCAUUAGGUGGUUGACUGCGUAUGAAUUCCCCCACGUCAGAUGUUAAGCGAAUUGAACCUACAUGAAAAAUUAUAUUGAAUUAGUAUUUCAAAAUUUAUAUAAAAGCAAAUCAAAAUAUUUAAUGAAAAGUAAAAAACUUACAUGUAUGUAGUCGAGGUUCGACCCUCCUUUCUGAAUCAGUCUCUUUCUUCUUCUUUACAAUACCAGUUUCAUUGAAUAGCUCAUCUUACUUCAUUGGAAUCAUAAAAUUGUCUGGCGGCUUUGGUGAUUAUCCUCGUGGUACUAUUAUUCGAGAUGAACUUUGAUACAGAGAAUAACUUGGAUACGGUACAUGACGGAGUGUGUCUUUGAUCAAUUGUUUAUCUCAUUAGCUACAAUGAUAAUAAGAAGGCAACGACAUGUGUUUCAAAAAAGUGAUGAUGUA